GAGGAGAGGCAUCUCUCCUCCGUGAAAGAUGGCCUCUGAACAUGCUAUCACCUGUCGAUGGGUCUGCGUCUGAUUAGCUGGUUGGUGAGGUAACGGCUCACCAAGGCGACGAUCAGUAGCCGGUCUGAGAGGAUGAACGGCCACAUUGGGACUGAGACACGGCCCAGACUCCUACGGGAGGCAGCAGUGGGGAAUCUUCCGCAAUGGGCGCAAGCUGACGGAGCAACGCCGCGUGAGUGGAGAAGGUCUUCGGAUCGUAAAGCUCUGUUGAUGGGGACGAACGUGCGAAGGGUGAAUAAUCCUUUGCAAUGACGUACCUAUCGAGGGAACCC
rnacentral:rRNA from 1 species